UUUAAGUGCAACUAUAAGUUUCCGCACUCAACUUUAAUCGUUCGUCUUAUUUAAAAUUAUUUUAUAAUUAGUAUUUUUGUUGUUAUAAGAUGAUAAAAUAUUAAUAGUACUUUACUCGUGACUUACGUUUUUAAAUUUUUUUUCAAAUAAGAUGAACGGUUAAAGUUGGGCACGAAAAACCAUAGCUGCACUUAAA
rfam:Oryza glumipatula chromosome 3, whole genome shotgun sequence.